GCGGGAAUUGAGCGGCUUUAUUUAUUAUAAAAAUCAAACACUUACAAUUAAUAGCUUAACUACGAACCAAGGGGUCGGGCGUUCGAAUCGCUCCGGGCGCACCA
rnacentral:tRNA from 1 species